UGACGGUAGAUCAACAUAUCGAUGUUUUAAUUAACAGAAAUAAUGUUUAACUAACAUUACCGCCAGGCCAGGCCAGUAAAAGUUCUAUGAAGAACUACUGAAGCAAACAAAUCAAUUAUCUCAUGAAUUUAUUACUCAUGAAAGCUAUGGCCUUAUUUAGUCGUUAAAAAAUUGGAACGAAAUAUGAAACAAACUGAUUCGUAUUAAGAUCAUUAAAGUUUGAAAUCACGAUAAUGUUUAAACUAUGAAAUUAUUUAAAUUCGCAGCUACUGAGCUAUCGAUAUUUUGAACUAUAGUUACCUUGGCUUUCUGAUUUAUUUUGAGUAAUCUUUGAGUGACCUUUAGUUUUUUUUUCGGUGAAACUGAUCUAUUCAACAGAAGAUCAUUUCAAUGCAUCUCUACUCUAAAAAUAAAACUGCUCAGAUUAUUUUCCGACUUUUCAUUGAACAAUUUCGUUAUUAGUUUUCAGAAUUCUAAUGUUUCAACUUCUGUUUACGUUUGGUUCAUUGAUUCAAAGAUACUCGGUUUUGGGGGCUGUGCAAAACCCUGUGUCUCCAUGGGAAUCACUCGUAAUUGUCCUACAAGAUGAAUAUGAUAUCCAUGGUCGUCAAUGUAGAAGAUUCAGUGGUGUACACUGUAUCCACGGCUACUGGUUUGAUUCUAAACAAAGCGACAGGACUUAUGGGCUUUCAGAUGAUCAAAAUUUUGCUGCUCUGAUUCGAGGAAACGACACGUGGAAACUUAUCAAUUGGUUUUCAUUCUUUCCUCUUGAUUUAGGUGGUUGCUGCAGUUUUCAAAAGUAUCAGUAUGGGAAACAUGGACGACGUUAUGGUGUCUCUCCAGAUACUUAUUUCCAAAAAAUUACCGAUCUAUCCUCAAAGCGAAAAAACGUCAAUCGUCUAAGAGUCAGGUAUGACUGUUUGAGUCAACGCAAUGUCAUUGUUGAAGUUGGUUUUGGGGUCGGAGAUCUGAGAGUUGGCGGGGACAAACGAAAUAACACUUCAUAUAGAAUUGAAACUAGCAUACCUCUGGAACUUCGGAUAGCCAAACGAGUUCCCUUUCAUUUCGA